rnacentral:siRNA from 1 species
CCUGCCGUCGCUUGAGAUGAC